rnacentral:rRNA from 1 species
AACGUACGCUGGCGGCACGCUUAACACAUGCAAGUCGAACGAAGUAGCAAUACUUAGUGGCAGACGGGUGAGUAACAUGUAGGUAUCUGCCCUUUGGCCUGGAAUAACACGAGGAAACUUGUGCUAAUACCGGAUAAGUCUUUACGGAGAAAGCUUUAUGCACCAUUGGAUGAGCCUGCACUUGAUUAGUUUGUUGGUGGGGUAAUGGCCUACCAAGACUGUGAUCAAUAGCUGAUUUGAGAGGAUGAUCGGCCACAUUGGGACUGAGACACGGCCCAAACUCCUACGGGAGGCAGCAGUGGGGAAUCUUGCACAAUGGAGGAAACUCCGAUGCAGCGAUGCCGCAUGAGUGAAGAAGGCCCUUGGGUUGUAAAGCUCUUUCGUCGGGGAAGAAAAUGACUGUACCCGAAUAAGAAGGUCCGGCUAACUUCGUGCCAGCAGCCGCGGUAAUACGAAGGGACCUAGCGUAGUUCGGAAUUACUGGGCUUAAAGAGUUCCUAGGUGGUGGAAAAAGUUAAUGGUGAAAUCCCCAGAGCUUAACUCUGGAACUGCCAUUAAGACUUUUCAGCUAGAGUAUGAUAGAGGAAAGCAGAAUUUCUAGUGUAGAGGUGAAAUUCGUAGAUAUUAGAAAGAAUACCAAUUGCGAAGGCAGCUUUCUGGAUCAUUACUGACACUGAGGAACGAAAGCAUGGGUAGCGAAGAGGAUUAGAUACCCUCGUAGUCCAUGCCGUAAACGAUGUGUGUUAGACGUUGGAAAUUUAUUUUCAGUGUCGCAGGGAAACCGAUAAACACACCGCCUGGGGAGUACGACCGCAAGGUUAAAACUCAAAUGAAUUGACGGGGACCCGCACAAGUAGUGGAGCAUGUGGUUUAAUUCGAAGAUACGCGCAGAACCUUACCAACACUUGACAUGUUCGUCGCGACUCUAAGAGAUUAGAGUUUUCGGUUCGGCCGGACGAAACACAGGUGCUGCAUGGCUGUCGUCAGCUCGUGUCGUGAGAUGUUGGGUUAAGUCCCGCAACGAGCGCAACCCUCACUUUUAGUUGCCAUCAUUAAGUUGGGCACUCUGAAAGAACUGCCAGUGAUAAGCUGGAGGAAGGUGGGGAUGACGUCAAGUCCUCAUGGCCCUUACGUGUUGGGCUACACACGUGCUACAAUGGUAUCUACAACAGGAAGCAAGACUGCGAAGUUAAGCAAAUCCUUAAAAGAUACCUCAGUUUCGGAUUGCACUCUGCAACUCGAGUGCAUGAAGCUGGAAUUACUAGUAAUCGUGGAUCAGCGUGCCACGGUGAAUGCGUUCCCGGGUCU